rnacentral:rRNA from 1 species
AGUGUAUAGAAGUGAGGAUGCCGGAAUGAGUAGCGCGAAUGCAGUGAGAAUCUGCAUGGCCGAAAGCCUCAGGUUUUUGGAGGAAGGUUCGUCCGCUCCAAGUUAGUCGGGAGCUAAGGUGAGGCCGAGAGGCGUAGCCGAUGCACAGACGGUAGAGAUUCCGUCACCACCAAAAGAGUUAAGCACAGGGACACAUAUGAAGUCUCAGAGCCGGGUGUUGGUUCCGGUAGAGAUCGAGGGAAGUUAGUACCGAAGUCUGGGAUGGAAGAUGGCGAGAAAAGCUGUGUGGAUUUCUGAGGUGCCCGUACCGCAAACCGACACAGGUAGGUAGGAAGAAGAUUCUAAGGCCAACGGGAGAAGGGUUGUUAAGGAACUCGGCAAAUUGACCCCGUAACUUCGGGAGAAGGGGUGCUCCAGAGAUGGAGCCGCAGAGAAUCGGCCCAAGCAACUGUUUACCAAAAACACAGGUUUGUGCUAAAUCGAAAGAUGACGUAUACGAGCUGACGCCUGCCCGGUGCUGGAAGGUUGAGAGGAGAUGUGCAAGCAUUGAAUCGAAGCCCCAGUAAACGGCGGCCGUAACGAUAACGGUCCUAAGGUAGCGAAAUUCCUUGUCAGGUAAGUUCUGACCCGCAUGAAAGGCGUAAUGAUUUGGGCACUGUCUCAACAGCCCGCCCGGCGAAAUUGUAGUACCGGUGAAGAUGCCGGUUACCCGCGACAAGACGGAAAGACCCCAUGGAGCUUUACUGUAGCCUAAUAUUGGGUUUCGAUGUUGCAUGCACAGGAUAGAUGGGACUCUGGGAAACCAGUGCUUUGGCGCUGGCGGAGAGGCCGUUGGGAUACCAUCCUUGCGAUAUUGGAAUUCUAACCUGCGGCUCUGAAUCGAGUCGGGGGACAUUGUUAGGUGGGCAGUUUGACUGGGGCGGUCGCCUCCUAAAAAGUAACGGAGGCGUUCAAAGGUUCGCUCAGCUUGAACGGAAAUCAAGCAAAAGAGUGCAAACGCAGAAGCGAGCCUAACUGCGAGACUGACGGGUCGAGCAGUAACGAAAGUUGGAGUUAGUGAUCCGGUGGUAUGUGAGUGGAAAUGCCAUCGCUCAACGGAUAAAAGUUGCCCUGGGGAUAACAGGCUGAUCUCCCCCAAGAGUCCACAUCGACGGGGAGGUUUGGCACCUCGAUGUCGGCUCAUCGCAUCCUGGGGCUGUAUUCGGUCCCAAGGGUUUGGCUGUUCGCCAAUUAAAGCGGUACGCGAGCUGGGUUCAGAACGUCGUGAGACAGUUCGGUCCCUAUCUGUCGUGGGCGCAGGAUAUUUGAUGGGAGCUGUCCCUAGUACGAGAGGACCGGGACGGAUGUACCUCUGGCGCACCAGUUGUUCUGCCAAGAGCAUAGCUGGGCAACUACGUACGGAUCGGAUAAACGCUGAAAGCAUCUGGGCGUGAAGCCGACCCAAAGAUAAGAUAUCCCACUGUUUUAAACAGGUAAGAUCCCUUGAAGACUACAAGGUUGAUAGGCACGAUGUGUAAGUGGAGUGAUCCAUUCAGCAAGGGUGUACUAAUAGAUCGAGGGCUUGACUAC